rnacentral:rRNA from 1 species
UACGUAGGGUGCGAGCGUUGUCCGGAAUUAUUGGGCGUAAAGAGCUUGUAGGCGGUUUGUCGCGUCUGCCGUGAAAAUUCGAGGCUCAACCUCGAACUUGCGGUGGGUACGGGCAGACUAGAGUGUGGUAGGGGAGACUGGAAUUCCUGGUGUAGCGGUGAAAUGUGUAGAGAUCGGGAGGAACACCGGUGGCGAAGGCGGGUCUCUGGGCAUCUCCUGACGCUGAGGCGCGAAAGCGUGGGGAGCAAACGGG